UCCUACGGGGCGCAGCAGUGGGGAAUAUUGCACAAUGGGCGAAAGCCUGAUGCAGCGACGCCGCGUGAGGGAUGACGGCCUUCGGGUUGUAAACCUCUUUCAGCAGGGACGAAGCGCAAGUGACGGUACCUGCAGAAGAAGCACCGGCUAACUACGUGCCAGCAGCCGCGGUAAUACGUAGGGUGCAAGCGUUGUCCGGAAUUACUGGGCGUAAAGAGUUCGUAGGCGGUUUGUCGCGUCGUUUGUGAAAACCAGCAGCUCAACUGCUGGCUUGCAGGCGAUACGGGCAGACUUGAGUACUGCAGGGGAGACUGGAAUUCCUGGUGUAGCGGUGAAAUGCGCAGAUAUCAGGAGGAACACCGGUGGCGAAGGCGGGUCUCUGGGCAGUAACUGACGCUGAGGAACGAAAGCGUGGGUAGCGAACAGGAUUAGAAACCCGAGUAGUCCC
rnacentral:rRNA from 1 species